GGAUUUUCAACAGCUUCAGCAACAUUCUCAGUUGCUUUCUCUAAAAGCACACCUUGCAGGGACUUCAGUGACUCCCUUGCAUCAGGUGUAAAAUAUGGAUUCAAUACUCAAAAUAUUCAAGCUCAAGCAUGAGCUGACAGAAACCAUUUGCAUCAAGUGACCUAAGAUCUUUGCUUUUGUUUUCAUGGAAAAGGCUCAGAAAAGUAUCAAUUAGACCUUCCACAAGAAUGCC
rnacentral:misc_RNA from 1 species